UACGAAGGUCCCAAGCGUUAUCCGGAUUUAUUGGGUUUAAAGGGAGCGUAGGUGGCCUUAUAAGUCAGUGGUGAAAUCUCUGGGCUUAACCCAGAAAUUGCCAUUGAUACUGUAGGGCUUGAGUAUAGUUGCCGUUGGCGGAAUAUGACAUGUAGUGGUGAAAUACAUAGAGAUGUCAUAGAACACCGAUUGCGAAGGCAGCUGACGAAACUAUAACUGACACUGAGGCUCGAAAGUGCGGGGAUCAAACAGG
rnacentral:rRNA from 1 species